AGCUUUGCGCAGUGGCAGUAUCGUAGCCAAUGAGGUUUAUCCGAGGCACGAUUAUUGCUAAUUGAAAUAUGUUUUCCUUUUUCUUUUUAAGACACAGAAUAUAUUAAGAUUUCUUCUAGUGUUUUCUAGGUAAUAC